rnacentral:tRNA from 1 species
GCAUCUAUGGCUGAGUGGUUAAAGCACCCAACUCAUAAUUGGACUACUCGCGGGUUCGAAUCCUGCUAGAUGCA